rnacentral:pre_miRNA from 1 species
UUCACGUCUGAGUUGGACAGGGGAUCUUGACAGUUUCACGUGAUAUGCUGCCAGAUCUAUCUUUCCAGCUCACACGUGGA